GAUGAACGCUAGCGACAGGCCUAACACAUGCAAGUCGAGGGGCAGCACAAGGGUAGCAAUACCCUGGUGGCGACCGGCGCACGGGUGAGUAACGCGUAUGCAACCUGCCUACCACAGGGGGAUAGCCUCCCGAAAGGGAGAUUAAUACCGCAUAAAACAGGGGCCCCGCAUGGGGAUAUUUGUUAAAGCAAUCGCGGUGGUAGAUGGGCAUGCGUUCCAUUAGCUUGUUGGCGGGGUAACGGCCCACCAAGGCGUCGAUGGAUAGGGGAACUGAGAGGUUUAUCCCCCACACUGGGACUGAGACACGGCCCAGACUCCUACGGGAGGCAGCAGUGAGGAAUAUUGGUCAAUGGGCGCAAGCCUGAACCAGCCAAGUCGCGUGGAGGACGACGGUUCUAUGGAUUGUAAACUCCUUUUGCAGGGGAGUAAACUGCGCCACGUGUGGCGCAUUGCAAGU
rnacentral:rRNA from 1 species